rnacentral:rRNA from 13 species
AAAAAAAAAAUAAAAUUUUUGCUAAAAAAUAUAACUGCAAAAGAUUAGGUUGUUGGUUUUGUUAAAGAAUACCAAGCCUUUGAUCUUAAGUUGAUCUUAGCGGAUGAUUAACCACACUGGUACUGAGACAAGGACCAGGCUUUAUUAUAGCCAGCAGUGAGGAAUAUUGGACAAUAAACGAAAGUUUGAUCCAGCAAUAUUACGUGAAUGAC